AGGCGAGUAGCUCAACUGGUAGAGCAACGGUCUCCAAAACCGUAGGUUGUGGGUUCAAGUCCUGCCUCGCCUG
rnacentral:tRNA from 2 species